UAAAACGUAGGGGGCAAGCGUUGCCCGGAUUCACUGGGCGUAAAGCGGGUGUAGGCGGUUCCUUAAGUCGGAUGUGAAAUCCAGCGGCCCAACCGCUGAAUUGCAUCCGAUACUGGGGAACUUGAGGACGGUAGAGGUCGGUGGAAUCCCCGGUGUACCGGUGAAAUGGGCAGAUAUCGGGGGGAACACCAGUGGCGAAGGCGGCCGACUGGGCCGAUCCUGACGCUGAGACCCGAAAGCUAGGGUAGCGAACCGGAUUAGAUACCCGGGUAGUCCUAGCCGUAAACGGUGCGAACUAGGUGUGGGGGCUGUCAUGGCCUCCGUGCCGAAGCUAACGCAUUAAGUUCGCCGCCUGGGGAGUACGGCCGCAAGGCUA
rnacentral:rRNA from 1 species